UUUGCUUCUCCUAUUCUUUAUAGAUAGAUAUGUGACCAUCGGCCCACACGAUAUUAACUCAAUUUUUUAAGGGGGAAGGUCCAUUAUGGUAGCUUGCUAUUCGGUCCUUCAUGCGUCGCCUAAGCUUUGCACUACAACCCAAGCCUGGCGCACCCCUC
rnacentral:snRNA from 1 species